AGGAGCUAAUUUCAGCAAAUGGCCAAAAUGCAGCAACAACAAACACCAUGUGGCAAAAGAAAGAAACUGUGGACCUGAAAGGGACAUCAUUCCAAGAGCAGCAACAGACAUUAAGUGACCAUGUUUGGAUGAUGAACAGGACUGGAGGAGUUUCCGUAGGGUUGGGAGUGAACUGGAUUUGACCCAAAGGAGAGCUCCUGGCCCGCUUCUUCCAGGCUGAGAAGCUACUGGCUGGGUGAGAUCAGCUAUAAGAUUCAGACCUGCUCAUGGAGCGAGAUCUAAAACGGGGUUGGACAGAACUAACUGCUGGGGGCCGUGAUUUGGAUCUGAGAUUGUGACAGUACACAGGGAGAUGGGAGCGUAACUUCUGCAACUGCAGCACCUAGAGACAUUGACUUGCAACUAUAGAUCCUACAUAUGAAGACAAGCUUUGAAGUUCAACACUGGACUACAGAACACAAGGACUACCUCAUCAUUUACUGAAACUGAUUCUAAAGCUGUUACCAAUACAGUAUCCAUGGAUGUAAAACAUUCGACAAACGAUACGGCAGCACAAAACAAAAUAAAGACUGAUGAAUCAAA